AUUGAACGCUGGCGGCAGGCUUAACACAUGCAAGUCGAGCGGGGUGAUGGUGCUUGCACUAUCACUUAGCGGCGGACGGGUGAGUAAUGCUUAGGAAUCUGCCUAUUAGUGGGGGACUACAUCUCGAAAGGGAUGCUAAUACCGCAUACGUCCUACGGGAGAAAGCAGGGGAUCACUUGUGACCUUGCGCUAAUAGAUGAGCCUAAGCCGGAUUAGCUAGUUGGUGGGGUAAAGGCCUACCAAGGCGACGAUCUGUAGCGGGUCUGAGAGGAUGAUCGGCCACACUGGGACUGAGACGCGGCCCAGACUCCUACGGGAGGCAGCAGUGGGGAAUAUUGGACAAUGGGGGGAACCCUGAUCCAGCCAUGCCGCGUGUGUGAAGAAGGCCUUAUGGUUGUAAAGCACUUUAAGCGAGGAGGAGGCUCUUUUGGUUAAUGCCCAAGAUGAGUGGACGUUACUCGCAGAAUAAGCACCGGCUAACUCUGUGCCAGCAGCCGCCGUAA
rnacentral:rRNA from 1 species